ensembl:lncRNA
AAAUCAGGGAUCUUUCUGUCUUCACAGCUGGUUGUUAAAUAUUACCAGCACACCACUGAUGGACCUUAUAAGAUGUGUGGGAUUUCACUCUGGAGAGGUGGGAUAUGCCAAGUAGAAAGAGAAGUAUAAUGGAAGACAAAGGAUUGGGAGAGAAUUCAAGCUUGCUCAGAUUCUUUGGGUUGCAAGGAACAGUCACUCAACCUAGUUCAAAUGAUGAAGUUUGUGGUGAAGAAAUUGCAAAGCUGUGAGCGUGACGGAGACUUCUGGAAAACAGGAUCUGUGGAUUAGCCAGGCUUCGCAGAGACUGGAACCAGAUGUCGUCCUGAAUCUUGGGCAGCUCAAGAGACCUUAGGGGCAGGGAUUUGUGGAAUUCGUCACCCUCUUGCUAUUCUUCGAAGGGCUUUCCUCUAUUGCAUAGCUUCUACUACCUUGUGCUUCCUCAUCAUUUCCGCGGGCUCGCAGCCUCUCUAGCACCACCUCCGACUCAAAGCUUCUGCGACACCUUCCUUUCAGCAUCUCUCCCGAGGGCAGGACCCCCUUUAGUUUCUACUCCAGGUUCCCAAGCCAGCAAGGAUCUGACAGGCUUCCCUUGUCAGGCAGAGUACAUCACUCAGCUUUUUUCCCCCCAGCUCAGCCGGUGUGCCCCGGAAUGGAGGAUGGACCAUGGACUGAGUGGUCCAAACUGGCUGCCAGCGGGAUCCCAUAAGUGGACCAAGAGAAGAGGAAACUAUUCCAGCAUGCUAUCGCUGGCUCCUCCCAGCUCUGCUUAGAACUCAUCAUGGGCUGCUCUACGCUUGGCUGUCUGGUUCUUAUGAACAGCUAUGUCAGUAUCCCUACGUUGGAGAAAUGAUCAAGGAGAGUCUCCCUGGACACCACAUCCAUACAUUGAUGAUAAUAAAAGUAUUUAGAUUAAUGAUAGUAACCAUUUUGAGUGUCUGCUCUGGGCCAAGGCACUGUGCUAGGCACUUGCAUUUAUUAUUUCCUUUAAUCCUCUCAAUUACACCACUGGGGUAAGCAUUGUUAUGCUCAUUAUACAGAUAAGAAAACCAAAGUUUUAUUAAUUUAUUGAGCUCAAGUAAGUUGCUCAAGAUUACAGGGAGAGUAAGCAGUUGAGGCACAGAUUUGCAGCAUCAAUGUUUUUCCAAAAUCCAUAUCUUUUUCAGACGAUUUCAUUGCCUUAGGCCACGAUAGGCAGGGAAGAUACCCUGGACAGCUGGGGGUCUUCAUACAUGGAGACAGAAUUGAGAACAACUACUGUAAAUAUAAUAUUGUAAAGUUAAGUUAAUUAAUAUAUCUUUGCUUCCAUAACACAUUAUCUUUCAACACAACAGAGUGGAAUCACCUAGGGGAGAACUGACAUUUGUUGAGAAGAGGAAAUGCGUUAAGCACAUUGCAUACUGUAUCAGUCAAAAUGAAGUCAGAAAAACAGAAAUUAUGCUAGGUAUUUCAACCAGAGGGUAUUUAAUAUAAUGAGUGGAUUUCACAGGAGUUGGAACAUCCAAAAGGAGACAGUGAGUAAAUACAGAAAGCAACCUGAAGGCUGCAGGGGACAAAAGGAAAGACGUGGAACCAGAACCUAGGAAGGCAGAGGAAGGGCCACCACCUUAGGAGCUGGGCUGCUGCAGGGCCAUCGUGUACCUGGUACUGGACUGCCAAGGGGGCACUGUGUGGCUGGUGAGGGAACCUCUGAGAAAGUGGCUUGACACUGGUGGCAGCAGUGUCAAAAGAUGCCAGAGUUGUAACUGUCCAAAAGAAUGUGGAAGGAGGAAGAGAGUCCCUCUCUACUCCUGCCUCCCAGUCCCCCAGUUGUGCCUCCUGAUUGCAGACCCUGACUGGAAAUCAGCUAGCAAGGGAAUCUGGGAAAUAUAAUUGUCAGACUCCAAGCCCACAGCAUUACAAAUAAAAGUAUAGAAGUGUGUGCAUGGAACAGAGAGAUAAUAGAAAAUGACAAGCCCAUAUCAGUCAAUUCAUUGAGUCCUCUACCAAACUGUGACUAAAUAGAAGAACCAAAGUUCAAACAGGGAUCUAAUACCAGAAUUCGUGCUCUUGCAGUAUGUUUUAAACCCUUUAACUCAGUUUACAUUUAUACUUUGUCCUUGACUUUUUUUCUCUCAG